UUUUUUUUUUUUGGUUUGUCAUCUGGAUCCAUCUAAACUUCUGAAGCUUAGGUAGCAGAAAACAGCGGGGUUGCGACACCGUCUCAGAGUCAUUGCUCUCUAAUCAUCAUGGAGACCAAUUAGUUCUGUUCUUCCAACGCUGAUACUUCAUCAUUUCGCGUGAAGGCCAUACAACAACGAUGAGUUAGUCAACUGCUAUUGCCUCCUUUACCACCACCAGGUUUCCUCGGCGGGACAUGCGCAGGAUUGGGUCCAGUUUCAUAAUCCAGCAUAUCGACCCCUGUACUCGUAAGCGCGUACUGGUAUAGACUGUCGGUCUCAUUGAUCGUCAGUGUCUGUGAUGGACAUAUCCUGUUAUGGCAAAAAGCAAAUGCGUCGGCAGAUUUAAAAUCCAUGGAUUGGCACUUGUUAGGAAUGAGUCUUUUCCAUCAAGUCAAUUUCAGUGAUCCAAAGUAUUUUGUCCUCUUGUCAUGGUAUUUGUUCUACAGAGGCGUUGACAGCCAUCAUAUAUAGAUUUUAACACUACCGAAAUGUAUGGCUACCAUUCAUGUUUGAAUUUUUAAACCAGGCAGACAAGCAAUAUUCGUUACUUGAAAUCAUUAUAUACAGGAAAUGUGGAUGACUAUGCUUUUUCCCA